rnacentral:lncRNA from 1 species
GCGUCAGCAGCGCAAACCGCCUCUCACUCACUGCCACCUGGAUUUUGAGUGGAUUCUCCCGUCUCUCUCUCCUUUCGUCAUUAUUUUCUAUAUAUACCAUUUGCUCUCGCUUUUGUUUUUUUUGUUUUUGGGUACAAUAUUUGAUCUCGAUGUUCGCCGAUCGCCAUUAACAGCAGUCAACAGAUAUUGAGAAGAUACCGCGAAACCCUAGGAAUGACCGAACAAUCCAUCUCCAUUUCUCCUCGUCGACGAAGAGACAGCCGCUGAGAGAGAGAGAGAGAGAGAGAGAGAGAGAGAGAGAGGA